rnacentral:lncRNA from 1 species
CCACGAGUGGAGACGCCCUCAGUGAGCCUGCUCAGCUCCUCCUUCCCCGCCACUCACAGGAGCCAGCCUCUCCUGCCCUCCCCCGCCUCCCACAGCUCUUCCAAUCCCAGCCCACGGGGGCAUGGGGGCGCAGGGUGUGUCGGCUGGGCACAGAGGACCCGCCCCUCUGCUGUCCUGCACCCCUCAGCACCUUACCCCCAGGACUGUCCGUGGCUGGGAAGAGACGUGGAGCUGGCUCUUACCACGCUUGGGGCUGGCUUUGAGCAGGGUCUGGUGAGCGAACUUGGCACCUCGCGCUGCUUAACCCAAAGCUUGGUGCUGCCUGGCACAGCACAGACAGAGCGGGGCCCUGGCCUUGGGCACACAGCCUUCCGGAUUCCACCAGCCUGGCUUUCGCGCUGUCCAGAAGCCAAGGUGGUGUGGUCUCCGGCGGUGCUGGCAGCCAGCCUAGUGUCUGUUACCCACGGCAACCUCUGUUUGGGGCAAACUGUGUCCAGGGCCUCCAGGCUCUCGGAAGUGACUUCCCAGGCCGGAACUGCCUUUUCGUCCUCACAUCUUUCUCCCUGCUCCCAGCCCACGGUCUCCAGUGAUAAGCCGUGCCACCAGGAGAGCUGCAGACAGCCACAGAGAGCCGCAGACAGCCCUGACCAGCCCCAGCGCCUUAGAAGAGGCUCCCACACACGGCUUCUACCCAGCUCCAAGGAGCAGGCGUCAGAAGCAGCCCCAGGUGACGAAGGCCAGGCUCCGCUGGGCUGGCUCCUUCCAGAAGCUCUGAGGCGGAGCCUGUCCCUUCCUGCUGGACCUGCUUGCUCCUCCCUGGUUUCCAGAGGCCCACCCCUGGCCUCCAGCCGGCACCAGGUCAGUCUCAGUGCCCACGCGACAAUCCAGGAUCCUUACCUGGGUCCCUGGGCAGCCCCCAGUGUGUCCCAUGACACCCACUUGCAACUUCAAGGUCGGGGCACGCGGCUCGGGCUGCAGCUUCACGCAGGGGGGCGUCCUACCUCGGGGGUCCCUCGGCCUGGCUGCUCCUGCAGGCUCCGUGCUGACGCCUCUGCUCCCACGGGCGCUCACCCUGGGCCUCGUCCGCAGGGGCCGCCAGGCUGUGUCUGCAGAACAGCCCUCCCUGCCCCGUCCCCCUCUGGCCCCAGAGCCCCUGGAGGAGGGGCUCUCUGCCUCUCCCGCACUCUCUUCUCUGUCUCUCUGCCCCUCAAUAAGCACGACUCUAAAAAGCUGGAGCUGCAGCAGUGGCCCUUGUGGAGCCACCAAGACCACGCUGGCAGUGCUGGGCUUAAUCCGUGGCCUAAGUGAGGUGUGUGUGUCAGGGAAGAGAAGGCGCAGUGGACAGCUAGUGGGCAGCACUGCCGCAGGGGAGUUUCCAGAAUGAACCCCUGGGGAAGAGGGCAGCAGAGCAGAGUGUGGGAAUUCUGAGGCGGCGACCCCCGCGGCCUCCGCCUGACCCCAAGAUGGCUACUCCUCAGGGGGGCGGUGAGGACUGCUCCCCUGCCCAGCAGACGCCACUGGGGGACAGCGCAUCUGCCUUCCGUCCAGUCCUCAGGGAGAGCGGCACAAACCCUCAGUCGGUGAAAUCUGUGGCUGGGGCCUGGGGACAAGGGCAGACGCAGACGCCAUGAGGAUGCCGAGGGCCCUGGGCUGGGCAGGGCUUGGUGAGAGAGCCCCGGGCCAGCCGGCUGCAGGCCCACAGGCACCUGUUAGCCUCUCUCCUGGGCACUGACUCUCGGCCUCCGCCUCGCAGCACCUGCUCUGCUUCCUCGAGUCCGUGUGUGGGACCUGCAGGGUCUGGUCCAGAGCCCGACAACGGCCGGCAGCCCUGACAAGCGCGGAGCAAGGCUGCUCUUGCACUUGGCGGGCGCUGGCCUCAUGCCCACCUCAUGCUACCCCUUGGGUCCCCAGGCCCUGGGAGCUGUGAGAGCGUGCAGGGCCGGCCUUGGGCUGCAGCCCUCCUGGGCCCUUCUGCUCUCCUAGCCUCCACUUUCCCCUCAGCAAACAGCCGUUCUCCGUGGAAAGACUAAGCAAGGAGCCCUGGGGGCUGUCACGGCAGGAAGGGUGCACACGGCACAGCGUGUGUGAUGACAGCACUGAGACUGGUUGCGGCAGGAUUGGAAGACCUGGGCACACCUGCAGUGACGGGUGCUUUCUCCUCCGUGUCUUUCUGUGGCCUCCACAAGUCUCAGCUGGAGCAAACAUGUCAUGGGUGUGGCCCAGGACGUGCCACAGACAGGUAGGUGGCCAAAGUCGCAGCAAAGGCAGGGCUGGGGCUGGGAGGCCCCUUCUCCUCUGGUCCCCGGCU